UCCCUGGUGGUCCAGUGGCUAAGACUCCGCAUUCCCAAUGCCGGUGGCCCAGGUUCAAUCCCUGGUCAGGGAG
rnacentral:tRNA from 1 species